AUGGCAUACUCCAUUGCUUUGUAUAUCUGUUAUGCCAGUUCCUAUUGCCCUAACUGUACUGUACUAUCGGUUCAAAAAAAAGUGUACUGUACUAUGCAAGUACUGCACUCCAGCUAA
rnacentral:rRNA from 1 species